GACGAACGCUGGCGGCGUGCUUAACACAUGCAAGUCGAACGGAAAGGCCCUGCUUUUGUGGGGUGCUCGAGUGGCGAACGGGUGAGUAACACGUGAGUAACCUGCCCUUGACUUUGGGAUAACUUCAGGAAACUGGGGCUAAUACCGGAUAGGAGCUCCUGCUGCAUGGUGGGGGUUGGAAAGUUUCGGCGGUUGGGGAUGGACUCGCGGCUUAUCAGCUUGUUGGUGGGGUAGUGGCUUACCAAGGCCUUGAUGGGUAGCCGGCCUGAGAGGGUGACCGGCCACAUUGGGACUGAGAUACGGCCCAGACUCCUACGGGAGGCAGCAGUGGGGAAUAUUGCACAAUGGGCGGAAGCCUGAUGCAGCAACGCCGCGUGCGGGAUGACGGCCUUCGGGUUGUAAACCGCUUUCGCCUGUGACGAAGCGUGAGUGACGGUAAUGGGUAAAGAAGCACCGGCUAACUACGUG
rnacentral:rRNA from 1 species